UACGUAGGGUGCGAGCGUUAAUCGGAAUUACUGGGCGUAAAGCGUGCGCAGGCGGUUAUGUAAGACAGAUGUGAAAUCCCCGGGCUCAACCUGGGAACUGCAUUCGAUACUGUCGAGCUAGAGUGUGGGAGAGGGUGGUGGAAUUCCCGGUGUAGCGGUGAAAUGCGUAGAUAUCGGGAGGAACAUCAGUGGCGAAGGCGACCGCCUGGCCCAACACUGACGCUGAGGUGCGAAAGCGUGGGUAGCAAACAGGAUUAGAAACCCGUGUAGU
rnacentral:rRNA from 1 species